rnacentral:rRNA from 1 species
UUUGAGAGUUUGAUCCUGGCUCAGGAUGAACGCUGGCGGCGUGGAUAAGGCAUGCAAGUCGUACGGGAACGCACAAUUUUGCGCAAGUAAAAUUGUGCGUUUUAGUGGCGAACGAGUUAGUAACACGUAAUUUACGCACCUUUGACACGGGCAUAAUUCGCCGAAAGGCGGACUAAUUCCCGAUAGUCCCGCUAACAUCUUCACAAGAAGUUGUGGCGGGUAAAGGUUUUAAGCAAUUGAUUCCGGUCAAAGAGCGGAUUGCGGCCUAUCAGCUUGUUGGUGAGGUAAUGGCUCACCAAGGCUAUGACAGGUAGGGGACGUGAGAGCGUGACCCCCAACGGAGGCAUUGAGAUACGGGCCUCACACCUACGGGUGGCUGCAGUCGAGAAUCUUCGGCAAUGGGCGAAAGCCUGACCGAGCGACGCCGCGUGCGGGAUGAAGGCCUUCGGGUUGUAAACCGCUUUUAGCUGGGAGAAAGUUUUGCGCUUUUUGCGUAAAGUUGAUAGUACCAGUUGAAUAAGGGGCUGCUAAUCACGUGCCAGAAGCAUCGGUAAGACGUGAGCCCCUAGUGUUAUCCGGAUUUAUUGGGCGUAAAGAGCCUUAAGGCGUUUUUUUGGGUUUUCUGUUAAAUCUCCAGCGCUCAACGUUGGAAUUAUAGAAAAAACUAAGGAAAUAGAGGAUGUUAGAAGCCAGCGGAACAUAUGGUGUAGGGGUGAAAUCCGUUGAUAUCAUAUGGAACACCAAAAGCGAAGGCAGCUGACUAAAACAUUCCUGACGCUGAUUGGCGAAAGCUAGGGUAGCGAAAAAGAUUAGAUACCUUUGUAGUCCUAGCUGUAAAUAAUGGACGCUGGCUAGUGGAAGUGUCGACCCUUUCACUGGUGAAGCUAACGCGUUAAGCGUCCCGCCUGGAAAGUACGACGGCAACGUUGAAACUCAAAGGAAUAGACGGGGAGCCACACAAGCGGUGGAUCACGUGGCUUAAUUCGAUGGUAAGCGAAGAACCUUACCAGGGCUUGACAUGCUAAAUGAAAGUUUAGGGAAACUUAGACCUCCACAAGGCAUUUAGCACAGGUGCUGCAUGGUUGUCGUCAGCAGGUGCUGUGAAGCGCCUCCUUAAAUGGACAAACCUGCGAAACCCUCGCUCUAUGUUUCAAGUAUCAUAGAGGACUGCCGCGGUUAACGUGGAGGAAGAAGAGGACGACGCCAAAUCCGCAUGGUCCUUAUGCCCUGGGCCGCACGCGUGAUACAAUGGCUGGUACAAUGGGUUGCCAAGUCGUAAGACGGAGCUAACCCCAUCAAAACCAGUCUCAGUUCGGAUUGAGGUCUGCAACUCGACCUCAUGAAGUUGGAAUCGCUAGUAAUCGCGGGUCAGCUAUACCGCGAUGAAUAUGUCACUGGCUCUUGUACUCACCGCCUGUCACAUCAGAAAAGUUGGUAAUGCCCAAAGUCUCUCUCGCGAGGGCCUAAGGUAAGAUCAGCAAUCAGGAUGAAGUCAUAACAAGGCACGGGUAGGGGAACCUG